rnacentral:rRNA from 1 species
UGGGGAAUAUUGCACAAUGGGCGCAAGCCUGAUGCAGCCAUGCCGCGUGUAUGAAGAAGGCCUUCGGGUUGUAAAGUACUUUCAGCGAGGAGGAAGGCGUUGUGGUUAAUAACCGCAGCGAUUGACGUUACUCGCAGAAGAAGCACCGGCUAACUCCGUGCCAGCAGCCGCGGUAAUACGGAGGGUGCAAGCGCUAAUCGGAAUUACUGGGCGUAAAGCGCACGCAGGCGGUCUGUCAAGUCGGAUGUGAAAUCCCCGGGCUCAACCUGGGAACUGCAUCCGAAACUGGCAGGCUAGAGUCUUGUAGAGGGGGGUAGAAUUCCAGGUGUAGCGGUGAAAUGCGUAGAGAUCUGGAGGAAUACCGGUGGCGAAGGCGGCCCCCUGGACAAAGACUGACGCUCAGGUGCGAAAGCGUGGGGAGCAAACA